AUACGUAGGUGGCGAGCGUUAUCCGGAUUUACUGGGCGUAAAGGAUGCGUAGGUGGAAUUUUAAGUGGGAGGUGAAAUACCCGGGCUCAACCUGGGAACUGCAUUCCAAACUGGAAUUCUAGAGUGCAGGAGAGGAAAGCGGAAUUCCUAGUGUAGCGGUGAAAUGCGUAGAGAUUAGGAAGAACACCAGUGGCGAAGGCGGUUUUCUGGAUUGAAACUGACACUGAGGCAUGAAAGCGUGGGGAGCAAACAGGAUUAGAUCCCCGGGUAGUCCACGCCGUAAACGAUGGGUACUAGGUGUAGGGGUUUCGAUACCUCUGUGCCGCCGUAAACACAAUAAGUACCCCGCCUGGGGAGUACGGUCGCAAGAUUAAAACUCAAAGGAAUUGACGGGG
rnacentral:rRNA from 1 species